rnacentral:misc_RNA from 1 species
UUUCCGUAGGUGAACCUGCGGAAGGAUCAUUACUGAGUGAGGGCCCCUCGGGGUCCAACCUCCCACCCGUGUUUAACGAACCUUGUUGCUUCGGCGGGCCCGCCUCACGGCCGCCGGGGGGCAUCUGCCCCCGGGCCCGCGCCCGCCGAAGCCACCUGUGAACGCAGUCUGAAGUAUGCAGUCUGAGACAAUUAUUAAAUUAAUUAAAACUUUCAACAACGGAUCUCUUGGUUCCG